rnacentral:rRNA from 1 species
GACGAACGCUGGCGGCGCGCUUAACACAUGCAAGUCGAACGGAAAGGCCUGCUUUCCCUUGUGGCUUGCGGGUACUCGAGUGGCGAACGGGUGAGUAACACGUGAGUGAUCUGCCCCCAACUUUGGUAUAAGCCUGGGAAACUGGGUCUAAUUCCCGAUAGGACUGCAGGGUGGUGCCUGUGGUGGAAAACGAUUUUCUAGUGUUUGGGGAUGAGCUCGCGGCCUAUCAGCUUGUUGGUGGGGUAAUUGCCUACCAAGGCGGCGACGGGUAGCCGGCCUGAGAGGGUGGACGGGCACAUUGGGACUGAGAUACGGCGCAGACGCGUACAGGAGGCAGCAGUGGGGAAUAAAGGACAAUGGGAGGAAGGGUGAAGCAGCGACGCCGCGUGGGGGAUGACGGGCUUCGGGUGGUAAACUACUUUCGACAGAGAGGAAGCCACCUGGUUGGAAGGGUGGUGACGGUAGUGGUAGAAGAAGCACCGGCUAACUACGUG